CCUACGGGUGACAGCAGUGAGGACUAUUGGUCAAUGGGCGGGAGCCUGAACCAGCCAAGUCGCGUGAGGGAAGACGGUCCUAUGGAUUGUAAACCUCUUUUAUAAAGGAAUAAAGUGAGCCACGUGUGCCUUUUUGUAUGUACUUUAUGAAUAAUGAUCGGCUAACUCCGUGCCAGCAGACGCGGUAAUACGGAGGAUCCGAGCGUUAUCCGGAUUUAUUGGGUUUAAAGGGAGCGUAGAUGGGUUGUUAAGUCAGUUGUGAAAGUGUGCGGCUCAACCGUAAAAUUGCAAUUGAUACUGGCAGUCUUGAGUACAGUUGGGGUGGGCGGAAUGCGUGGUGUAGCGGUGAAAUGCUUAGAUAUCACGAAGAACUCCGAUUGCGAAGGCAGCUUACUAAACUGCAACUGACAUUGAUGCUCGAAAGUGUGGGUAUCAAACAGGAUUAGAUACCCCAGUAGUC
rnacentral:rRNA from 1 species